CCCUCCUUUUGGAGUUUUUGGUGAGCUCUGUUCAUCGGGAUGGGUUAACCACAAGUCUUCUGCAAGUGCUGAAAAGCAGUUUGCUGCCCUUGCCUCAUCAGCUGUGCAGAUACAGUUAGUACCUGUGCUGGAUGGAUGGUGAGCUGGCUUGUGCUGAGUGGUACCUUGUACCUGGGGGAGAGCCUGAAGACUGAGCAUGCAGCUUCUGCUAGGUGCUGUGCAUGCAUUUCACCUCUUUUUGCCUUAAUUUGAUGGGUGCAAAGGCUGAUGGAGUCUGGCCUGUAGGCAUAGGUGGGGGAAUUGUUACAAGAAGUUGAGCUGGGCUCUGCUUUAGGAGCUGGGAUGUAUGCUGGAGUUCUUCCCCUGACCUGGAGCUGCCUUGACAUGUGCUGCUGUUCUGACUUUCUCAAUGGAACCUCGUGGGUGGUGAAGUGACUUGAGAAAAUCUGAUCCAAAACUGCUUAAAAAUAAAAAGUCAUCUGGGAACAUUGGUCGGAUGCUGAUAGUCAUUAAAUUCUGGGUUUUUAAUAGGAAAAUUGUAGCAAUGUAACUUUAACUUUCCAUAAACUACACUCCACGUGCAGAUUCAUAAGUCAGUUCACUCAAGCCCAGCUGAGAUCUCUCUAUUUUGCAAACUAUUAUGGGCAACAAUUAAAAUUAGUACUGGAAGUACUAGAAUUGUUUUGUUUCCUCACUUCUCUUCAUGCACAGAGGAAAACACAUGUAAAUUCAAACACUUCAGCUGUGUGAUUGAUGUAUUUCAUCUCCCAGCUCUGU